rnacentral:rRNA from 1 species
GACGAACGCUGGCGGCGUGCCUAACACAUGCAAGUCUGACGGGAAAGUCUCCUUCGGGAGACCGGUACAGUGGCGGACGGGUGAGUAACGCGUGGGAAUCUACCCGGUAGUGGGGAAUAACCCCCCCGAAAGGGGAGCUAAUACCGCAUAAGCCCCAAGGGGUAAAGAUGGCCUCUUUCUAAUGCUAUCGCUUCCGGAUGAGCCCGCGUCCUAUUAGCUAGUUGGUGAGGUAAUGGCUUACCAAGGCUACGAUGGGUAGCCGGUCUGAGAGGAUGAACGGCCACACUGGGACUGAGACACGGCCCAGACUCCUACGGGAGGCAGCAGUAGGGAAUAUUAGUAAUGGGCGAAAGCCUGAACUAGCAACGCCGCGUGUGCGAAGAAGGCCUUCGGGUCGUAAAGCACUUUUUGAGAGGAUGAGGAAGGACGGUACUCUCAGAAUAAGUCUCGGCUAACUACGUG